GAUGAACGCUGGCGGCGUGCCUAAUACAUGCAAGUCGAGCGAAUGGAUUGAGAGCUUGCUCUCAAGAAGUUAGCGGCGGACGGGUGAGUAACACGUGGGUAACCUGCCCAUAAGACUGGGAUAACUCCGGGAAACCGGGGCUAAUACCGGAUAACAUUUUGAACCGCAUGGUUCGAAAUUGAAAGGCGGCUUCGGCUGUCACUUAUGGAUGGACCCGCGUCGCAUUAGCUAGUUGGUGAGGUAACGGCUCACCAAGGCAACGAUGCGUAGCCGACCUGAGAGGGUGAUCGGCCACACUGGGACUGAGACACGGCCCAGACUCCUACGGGAGGCAGCAGUAGGGAAUCUUCCGCAAUGGACGAAAGUCUGACGGAGCAACGCCGCGUGAGUGAUGAAGGCUUUCGAGUCGUAAAACUCUGUUGUUAGGGAAGAACAAGUGCUAGUUGAAUAAGCUGGCACCUUGACGGUACCUAACCAGAAAGCCACGGCUAACUACGUGCCAGCCGCCGCCGUAAAAC
rnacentral:rRNA from 1 species